UUAGCCGCCCACGACUUCUCUCUUUCUUGCAACCGACGCUGCAGUUCAUGUCCUGCUGUUACGAUUGCCCAAAAAAAAAAGAAAAAUAAUCACAAUUCACAUAAUGUGCUAUAGGAUAAGGAGUACCUGAGGAUUGUGACUGAUGAGGUAAACUGGUGAAGGGGCUUAUACAUUGGACGGUGGGUGUGAAUGACAUAGUCCUUCAAUCGCGAUGAAGUUUGCUUGACUUUGUGGCCUCGUCCCAGUUGUUCACUCACGCCCCCCUUGGCUUCCAUCUCAAUUAACUGAAUAAUCUCAGCCUCAUUUGGGAGCUGCGACUGCCCAACAUCGACCCCCUUUUCUCAUGUAAAGAGUCGGCAUCCUCAUCACCCCUAUUAUCACAAAUCACAUCUCCAUCUUCCGCAACUCGCCGUUACAACCCACUGUCGCCACCGCUUCCAUCGCAGUUCGCCUCCGACGCAGCCGCUGCCAUCAAAGCCUCCAUCGCCGUUCGCCGCCGUCAUCCACGCCUCCAUCGCCGACGACGACUUUUCCCCUUCUCCACUAAUUCACUCUAAUUGCCCUAAGGGUCUUAGAUUAGAACCCCCUUCUGGGGGUAGGGUCAAGACCAGUGCCUGUUCCUUCGCUCAAGCUCUUGGUUCGCUCCUUCUUGUGUUGCAUUCUGUGAUCCUCCGUUUUGGGUGUGUGUUUUUCUGAUAGCCGGGACCCGAGGUUGAUUUCCUAUUUAAAUGUCAGUUCCACCGUGAUCAGCUAGGCCAAGCUCAAUCCCCGUUGCGGUUACGGAGCAUGCUAGAUGGCGUGGUUUAUGGUCAUUGUUUCAGUUUUUGUACUCUGGGUAGCUUCUCUGUGCAAGAUCCUCUACUCGUCAUACUCAUCUUCCAAGGCUACAUUCUUGAGUGAUGGUGGUGGAGGCCUUGGUCAGAAGAAUGUCUUGCUGGUCAUUGCCCAUCCAGAUGACGAGUCUAUGUUUUUUACUCCAACAAUUAAUUAUCUCAUGUCAAGGCGGCAUAAUUUGCGCAUGCUGUGCAUAUCAACUGGUGAUGCAGAUGGGAUGGGAAGCAUUAGGAAAGAAGAACUCUAUAAGGCUUCUGCAAUCCUAAAGGUUCCACUCCAGCAAGUAAAGAUUCUGGACCACCCCCAUUUGCAGAUAAUUACUUUUGAUGACUAUGGUGUUUCGGGUCACUGUAAUCAUCGUGACGUGAAUCAUGGGAUACGCAAGCUCCUGCUUAAUAAUACAAAAAGAGAUGUUGAAGCUUGGGAACUUGUUGUUUUCCUCGUCGGCCCAGCAUUGCAGAGUAUUUUGGUUACAUGUCUAUGGACAAGGUUAGUACUAACAUAUUUCGCAAGUACUGUGGACCAGUUGAUAUCUGGUUCUCCCUGGUUUAUGCCAUGUACCAUCAACACGAAGAUUCACAUUGCAUGCUGAAUGAGAAUCCGGUUAAAAGCUACAAUGCAAUGGCACAGCAUAAAAGCCAGUGGGUUUGGUUCCGGAAACUUUUUGUUUUGUUAUCCAGUUAUACUUAUGUUAACACCCUGAGGAGGAUCGACGCGUAGGUGCAGAUGAGGUUAUAUGGUAUGGACCAAGCUGAAGGAUUCUUCUUCAGUUCAGACCGCGAUAUCAGAUUUUUUGCCGCCCGUGAAUCGGACGGACUCCGGCGGCGGCGAAUUGCUUGUUUUCCUUUGAGAUAUCCGUCCGAGUUUCCGGCAAUGGGGCUAGUAGGUAUGUUACUGCUGUCUGCCUGCAGAUACUUAAGAUCAGAUAUUUGGUAUGGUAAUAUUUUCUAUAAAAAAUAUCAUUAUAUUGCAUGUUAAUUACGUUGGGUUUUAUUUUUGCAACAAAUUUAUUUUGGCCUGAUGAGUUGGGCCAAAUUAUUAUUAUUAUUAUUUUACCUUUA